GACAGAGGGUGCAAACGUUGCUCGGAAUCACUGGGCGUAAAGGGCUCGUAGGCGGUUUGUCGCGUCGGGAGUGAAAACCAGGUGCUUAACACCUGGCUUGCUUUCGAUACGGGCAGACUAGAGGUAUUCAGGGGAGAACGGAAUUCCUGGUGUAGCGGUGAAAUGCGCAGAUAUCAGGAGGAACACCGGUGGCGAAGGCGGUUCUCUGGGAAUGACCUGACGCUGAGGAGCGAAAGUGUGGGGAGCGAACAGG
rnacentral:rRNA from 1 species